AAAUUUCACUUUAUACUCAUUAAUUUUAAACUAUUUAUUCUUUAAUUUUCGAACCCAAAUUAUUUACUACUGCUAUCCAUAUAACCCAAAUUAUUUACCCAACAUUUCUAACUUCUAAGUUCCAACUGUAUACGUCUUUUUGUACUACUACAAGUAUAUUACUUUUCAUAAAUAUUCAUUAAUACAAGAAGAAUAAGCCCGAUCGCUUGGAUAUAAAGAUAAGAGUCUCAUCUUCGUCAACGAACUGGCUGUUAAAAUUAACGAAGGAACCAUCGGUAUUCUCUAUGGGAUAUUGGGUACUAUGGAGUGGAGAAUCAAGGAAAGAAAAUGGGGAUUUGAGGGAGAAGAUAUCGAAGUCGUAAUUGGUUCUGCCAACGGUGGAGAAGGUAAUAGAAUCAUGUAGUGACUCUAAAGCCAUAAUUUUGUUGAUUUGCUCUACAGUUGGGAAAUAAUAUCCAUUGUUAAAGAGAAAUAUGAGCUGCAAUUGUAGUACUUGAGAAAGACGAGGUGGAAAGUGUUAGCGUUAGGCAUGGCGUUUCUUCUUUCAUUUUGUUUUGACUAAAUGGGAGAGAUAAGAGGUUUCCUUUUUACCUUGUGUUGUGGAUCAUCCCCAUGUAAAUUAUUAUGUGUAUUUGAAUAUAUAUAGCACUUGUUGGAUAUUGCUGAAAACACUCAACCGGUGUUAGUCUAUAUGAUAGUGAGGAUGUAAUAUCCUCUACCAAGGAUCCAAAAUUUCAUUGUAAAACCAAACAUAUAGAUAUCAAGAAUAAUGCGAAGAACAUGGUUUGACACAAGGUAGUGAAAGUGAAGCGUGUGUCUACAAAAGAUAUAUUAGCAUAUCUAUUGAUCAACCUUUAUCUAGAGAUGCAUUUGUAAGAUACACUAGGUCUCAAGGCUUGCAUAGACUCAGAAAUACUUUAUUUUGUUAUUUAUUUUUUCGUAUUCCCAAACUGAUGUUCUUUGAUUAUCAAUAAAGUU
rnacentral:lncRNA from 1 species